GAAAUGCGAUAAGUAAUGUGAAUUGCAGAAUUCAGUGAAUCAUCGAAUCUUUGAACGCACCUUGCGCUCCUUGGUAUUCCUUGGAGCAUGCCUGUUUGAGUAUCAUGAAAUCUUCAAAGUAAAUCUUUUGUUAACUCAAUUGGUUUCUACUUUGGUAUUGGAGGUCUUUGCAGCUUCACACCUGCUCCUCUUUGUUCAUUAGCUGGAUCUCAGUGUUAUGCUUGGUACCACUCGGCGUGAUAAGUUAUCUAUCGCUGAGGACACUGUAAAAGGUGGCCAAGGUAAAUGCAGAUGAACCGCUUCUAAUAGUCCAUUGACUUGGACAAUACUUUUAUGAUCUGAUCUCAAAUCAGGUAGGACUACCCGCUGAACUUAAGC
rnacentral:misc_RNA from 1 species